rnacentral:lncRNA from 1 species
CAGGCGGGCGGCAACCAAAUGUUGUCCGUGCAUUUACUCAUGAAGCGUUCAACCAAAUCUUUUAAAAUUUUAAUAUGUUGUUACUGACAACAAAAUGGAGGUCAAGUUCAAUAAUGACGAUUUUGACUUUUACCGUUCAGGAGUUACGGUUCUUGAAAGUUUAAAAAAUGUUGUGUCCGUGCAUUUACUCAUGAACCAGUCAACCAAACCUUUUAAAAUUUUAAUAUGUUGUUACUGACAACAAAAUGGAGGUCAAGUUCAAUAAUGACGAUUUUGACUUUUACCGUUCAGGAGUUACGGUUCUUGAAAGUUUAAAAAAUGUUGUGUCCAUGCAUUUACUCAUGAACCGUUCAACCAAACCUUUUUAGAUAUUUUCAAAAUCCUAGGUAGGUGGACUUAGUAAUUUUUUCUUACUUUAUGCAUUAAGGGCACACAGUUUGUCCUGCUAGAGGGUCAUUUUCUAUCUAGUUUAUAUGUUGUUAUUGUUGACAACAUGGAAGUCAAGUUUGAUAUUGAUAAUCAUAAAUUUUACCUAUUAGGAGUUUUGGUCCUUGUAAUAUUGAUAAAUGCCAGAACACAAAUAAAUGUUAAAGAAUCCGGUU